rnacentral:rRNA from 1 species
CGCGGCCUAUCAGCUUGUUGGUGAGGUAACGGCUCACCAAGGCAUCGACGGGUAGCUGGUCUGAGAGGACGAUCAGCCACACUGGGACUGAGACACGGCCCAGACCCCUACGGGAGGCAGCAGUAGGGAAUCUUGCGCAAUGGGCGAAAGCCUGACGCAGCAACGCCGCGUGGGGGAAGAAGGCUCUCGGGUCGUAAACCCCCUUCAGCAGGGACGAAAUUGACGGUACCUGCAGAAGAAGGGCCGGCCAACUACGUGCCAGCAGCCGCGGUAAUACGUAGGGCCCGAGCGUUGUCCGGAUUUAUUGGGCGUAAAGAGCUCGUAGGCGGUUCGAUAAGUCGGGUGUGAAAACUCAGGGCUCAACCCUGAGACGCCACUCGAUACUGUCGUGACUAGAGUCCGGUAGAGGAGCGUGGAAUUCCUGGUGUAGCGGUGAAAUGCGCAGAUAUCAGGAGGAACACCGAUAGCGAAGGCAGCGCUCUGGGCCGGUACUGACGCUGAGGAGCGAAAGCGUGGGGAGCAAACAGGAUUAGAUACCCUGGUAGUCCACGCCGUAAACGUUGGGCACUAGGUGUGGGUCCCAUCCAACGGGAUCCGUGCCGUAGCUAACGCAUUAAGUGCCCCGCCUGGGGAGUACGG